UACGUAGGGUGCAAGCGUUAAUCGGAAUUACUGGGCGUAAAGGGCGCGUAGGUGGCUGCUUAAGCGUGUGGUGAAAGCUCAGGGCUCAACCCUGAGUCGGCCAUGCGAACUGGGCAGCUGGAGCACUGUAGAGGCAGGUGGAAUUCCGGGUGUAGCGGUGGAAUGCGUAGAGAUCCGGAAGAACACCGGUGGCGAAGGCGGCCUGCUGGGCAGUUGCUGACACUGAGGCGCGACAGCGUGGGGAGCAAACAGG
rnacentral:rRNA from 1 species